rnacentral:rRNA from 1 species
CCUACCACCCUGGACAGUCCCGAUCUCAUCUGAUCUCAGAAGCUAAGCAAGGUCGGGCCUGGUUAGUACUUGGAUGGGAGAUUCUCCCUGAGUCUCCAGAAGGA